GACAGUGAUGUGAUAAUCCUAUUCCAUUGCUGAGUUCUCACAAUGUGGAAAAAUUAUGACUGAUGUU